ensembl:lncRNA
GCAACGCUAGGCUAACACUAACUAGCUAGCAAGAUUAUAAACCUGGUGCUAAACUAAGAGAAGCCGCAAAAUCAGUUUGAAUAAGAGUAAACAUUUACUCACCAAGUCAGUGUAUCAGGUAAAGAUUCACAGCAAUGACAAUAAUCUCUUGAGCUGACGCUUCUCCAGGUUUGUUCAACAUAUCCCAUAACAAAUGCUGGCACCAUGAACAUGUGGACUGAUCCGAGAGGGAGGAGGAGGUAGUCAUGUGGCAUUUUCAAAACACAUUUUUCAUCCUUCCGCCCUGAGAAGCAAAACUUCCAGCUUACUUAGUUUUUCUAAGUUUAGACAACUCAAAUAAAUUGAGUUUAUCAGCAUUUUUGCAUAAAAAGUACUGGUAACUUAUUUAAAUCGAGUUCUAAUAACAAAUUGAUAAAAAAUUGAGUUCAGCCCAUUUAAUAUUUUUAAUUAAACACAAUAUUACAUUUUACAGUGUGCCAUGAUCUAAAGAAACCCAAGAACAACUGAGAUUUGCAUUGUGGGCUACUUUUUGUGAAAACUUUUGAAUUUAUCAGUGAGAGAAUAAAAAUCCUCGUCUCAAUCAUGUUUAAUAUCUAAGCAAUAAUAUCUUCAAUAAAAGGACUGAAUAAAUUCCUUGAGGAAGAUUGCUGAAACUAUCAGAAUGGAAGUGAGGGAAUUAAUCAAGAGGGAAAAACUAGAGAGACAACUAUGUUUGCAUCUGCAAAAAAAAAAAAAAAAAAAGACCACAUAAAAGAGUGGGCACCAAGAGGGAAUGUAACCAGGAUUUUAUUUUAACUUCAAACACUGGCUUCCUCUAGUUCUUGCAGCUUUUGGAGUACCUACCGAAUACAAAGGAAAUGUUUAAAACGCUUUAAGGAGAAUUUGAACCUUUGCCGCAGACACAGUUAUAAUCUGCUAACACAAAAACGCACUGGCAUAUGAACUCAGUAACCCUGAGACCCAGAACUUAUGACCACGUUUCAGACAAAUACAAGGGGGAGGGGGUUUAGGAUCUGACUGAGUGAGUUUUCACCAACAAAAUUUAGAACAGUUUGUGAGAAAGUAAGAGUAUUUACUGCAGUGAGAACUUUCAGUUUGACAGAUUGGCAGACACUUUCAUUCACUGAAACUCCAGAAACAGUCCCUUACUCCCAUAAGCCUUUACUGAAAUACUUGGAAAAUCAAAGUUUCAACUCUAGAGUGUUAUUGGCUUUUUCAUUUUUAUGUUGCAAACCCAGGACAGGAAAGUUACCAAUAUAUGAUUCAUGGGUAGAGCUAUGUUGAAAACAAAUAUUUACAGAUAUAUAUAGUUUAAAAAACAUUGAAGCUACACAAUUCAAUAAAAG